AGGAGUUUCCGUGCGCCACGAGGCGCUGGCGCGCGUCUCCCGGCCCAUCCACCCCGGGCCCGGCGACACCUUUCUUUGCCACCUGGAACCAACAUCUUGGUUCCCUUUUGAGGGAUCAGAACUUGUUUAAUUGGAAUACGGCAAAAUUCUGAAUUUUUCUGCCGUCUCUAUUCCAACUUCAGAGUUCUGCCGUCCAGCCCUGCGACAAUCUUCCGGUGCCAACGCGGCAGAUGGUGUCAGAAGCGGAGUCCAGAGUAGAGCUUCUAGGAACCUUCGGGAGUGCUGAGUGAACACGCAAGGUGCCUGCGGAACCCACUUGUGUCCAUUGACCUCUCCGAGUGGCCGGGGAUCGUGGACUCCAUUUUGGAUGCUCCCUUCGUGACUGUGGGUCCUGUACUGGAACUCGAGUGAACACUUGGCUUAAAAUCCAUUGCUGUUCUCCAGAAAUCCUGCCCAAUUUUCUCGGUUAAAGGUACGUGUAGUAGGCAUUGCUUUUUCUCUUUGGGGACAAAACUCAGGAGGAUUGCCCCUUGAUGAACAAGGCUAACCUGCUGAUUCUUUGAAGCAAGGAACUGGAGAUGGUCCUUAUAGAGUUUUAUAUUCUGGAUUCCAUAAAACAUGCAUACAGGGUCAAUAAAUGCAUCUUUAUUUUUGUGUCUAUUUUAACUUGGUCAAAGAAAAUUCCAGGAAAAAAUCCACGGCAUCAGAGCAAGAAGAUGUCAGGCUGUGACCCUCUUGAGGGAAGCACUUUCUGUUGUCUGAAAGAAGAGAAAGUGCUUCCUUUUAGAGGCUUACUGUCUGAGAAAAGCAACGUUGUAGUUGAUGCUGAUCUUUGUAAUAUCUUUGCAGAGCACGCUUAUAAUCAGACUUGGAUGAUGUUGGGGUUUUGUUUUUCUUUUGUUUUUUUAUCUAAGACUGGGUCUCUGUUGCCCAGGCUGAAGUGCAGUGG